CCUACGGGAGGCAGCAGUGGGGGAUAUUGCACAAUGGGGGGAACCCUGAUGCAGCGACGCCGCGUGGGUGAAGGAGCGUUUCGGCGCGUAAAGCCCUAUCGGCAGGGAAGAAGAUGACGGUACCUGACCAAGAAGCCCCGGCUAACUACGGGCCAGCAGCCGCGGGAAUACGAAGGGGGCAAGCGUGAUCCGGAUUUACUGGGUGGAAAGGGGGCGCCGCCGGCACUGCAAGCCAGGAGGGAAAGCCCGGGGCCCAACCCCGGGACUGCUCGUGGAACUGCAUGGCUGGAGUACAGGAGGGGCAGGCGGACUUCCUAGUGUAGCGGUGACCUGCGUAGGUCUUAGGCGG
rnacentral:rRNA from 1 species